UACAUGCUUCUUUAUUUUUUCUCAUAAAUUGAAAUAUAAAAAACAGGAACAAUAGGCCCUGCUUGGAAUUGAACUCCCAAAACAGUUUUCUGUUUUGGGAGUUGCACAAAACAGAAAACACUUGUUUCAAUCCUGCUUGGGCCUACUUUUGGAAAACAGUUUUUAUAAAAUUGUGUUUUCUUAGUGUUGGUUUUUAGAGAACAGCUUGGGGUAGUUUUCAGAAUUUUGCAGCAUUGUUUGAGGACUCAAAAGAAAACACGGAGAACACUUUCUCCACUUAAAAACUGAUGCUACCAUCGCAUCGUUUAUAACGCAGCAUCCAUCUUCUCUCUCUUCAACCUCUCUGCAAUUCAUCUUCUCUCUCUUCUACCUCUCUGCCUGAUCUAGUUUAUAACACAAGCUCUGCAACGCAUCCAUCUUCUCUCUCUUCAACCUCUCUGCAACCCAUCUUCUCUCUCUUAAACUUCUGUCUCUUCAACAUCUCUACAACUAAGAGAAGGUAGAUCUAGCUCUUGAAGAUCGUUAUUUACACAAAGAGAAGGGUGGAUCUGGUUCUUCAAGCUCUCUUUCUUCAGGAAACGCUUGUUGCACAAUUCAUAAUUUUAUUAGUCAAAAUGCACUAGUUGGUUGUUUUUUUAUGAAGUAUGGAGAAGAAGAUGAUAUUGUUAGUGAGGGGAAUGCUAGCACGAGUCAAGGACCGAAUGCAGUAAACUUCUAUGAAGCAAAGUCUCAUGGGAUAGAAUCACAUACCUUUACAAGUGAUGUUCAUCCAAUUUGAUCUAGAUGAUGUUUAUUGAAAUAGAAUCACAUAUUUCAUUUUUUUCCAUGUCUUUUAAGUUUAGAUGAGAAGUGAGAUGGUUUAUGUAUGUAGACAUUGAAUUCAUGUUAUGUUAUGAAUGAAAGAAACCCAUAAUACCAGAGCAGUUCUUUGCUACACAAUUCCUGUGAUGAGAUGGUUUAUGUAUGUAGACAUUGAAUUCAUGUAAUCUUAUGCAUGAAAGAACCCUAUAAUAUAAGUCUUUUUUCAUUUUUA